UUUUGCCUACGGGGGGCAGCAGUGAGGAAUAUUGGUCAAUGGGCUUACGCCUGAACCAGCCAAGUCGCGUGAGGGAAGACUGCCCUAUGGGUUGUAAACCUCUUUUGUCGGGGAGCAAGACCCGCCAUGAGUGGCGGAGCGAGAGUACCCGAAGAAAAAGCAUCGGCUAACUCCGUGCCAGCAGCCGCGGUAAUACGGAGGAUGCGAGCGUUAUCCGGAUUUAUUGGGUUUAAAGGGUGCGCAGGCGGACCAUCAAGUCAGCGGUAAAAUCGUGGGGCCCAACCCCAUCCCGCCGUUGAAACUGG
rnacentral:rRNA from 1 species